rnacentral:misc_RNA from 1 species
AUUUUUAGAGUUUAGGAAUGGUGGAUUUGGGUAUAAAAUAACUCAUGCUUUACUUUGAUCAAGUGUGCUGGGACUGGCAGCAACCCAUAUAAUUGUACCAAUUUAUGAUUGUGAAUUGUCACAAUUUCUUUCAUUUUUGGGUAUUUAGCAAUGAUUUAAGAUCAUUGUGUGAAAUGUAAAUGUUAAAACCCUACCGGGCAGGGG